AUCCUACGGGGCGCAGCAGUGAGGAAUAUUGGUCAAUGGGAGGAAUCCUGAACCAGCCAUGCCGCGUGCAGGACGACGGCUCUACGAGUUGUAAACUGCUUUUGUACCGGGGUAAAAUGCCUUACGAGUAGGGUUUUGAAAGUACGGUACGAAUAAGGAUCGGCUAACUCCGUGCCAGCAGCCGCGGUAAUACGGAGGAUGCGAGCGUUAUCCGGAUUUAUUGGGUUUAAAGGGUGCGUAGGCGGAUCGUUAAGUCAGUGGUCAAAUUGAGGGGCUCAACCCCUUCUCGCUAUUGAAACUGGCGC
rnacentral:rRNA from 1 species